AUCCAGUUGACGAGUCACAAAUAGGACGAAACGCGCAUCCUGGAU
rnacentral:hammerhead_ribozyme from 1 species